ACGGAGGGUCCAAGCGUUAUCCGGAUUCAUUGGGUUUAAAGGGUCCGUAGGCGGGAAGAUAAGUCAGUGGUGAAAUCCUGCAGCUCAACUGUAGAACUGCCAUUGAAACUGUCUUUCUUGAAUGUAGAUGAAGUGGGCGGAAUGUGUCAUGUAGCGGUGAAAUGCAUAGAUAUGACACAGAACACCGAUUGCGAAGGCAGCUCACUAAACUAUUAUUGACGCUGAGGGACGAAAGCGUGGGGAGCGAACAGG
rnacentral:rRNA from 1 species